GGUUCUAUAGUGUAGCUGGUUAUCACAUCGGAUUCUGAUUCCGGUAACCUGAGUUCGAAUCUCGGUAGAACCU
rnacentral:tRNA from 3 species